UACGAAGGGGGCUAGCGUUGCUCGGAAUGACUGGGCGUAAAGGGCGCGUAGGCGGCUGGGCCAGUCAGAUGUGAAAUUCCCGGGCUUAACCUGGGGACUGCAUUUGAUACGUGUUGUCUUGAGUUCGGAAGAGGGUCGUGGAAUUCCCAGUGUAGAGGUGAAAUUCGUAGAUAUUGGGAAGAACACCGGUGGCGAAGGCGGCUACCUGGUCCGACACUGACGCUGAGGCGCGAAAGCGUGGGGAGCAAACAGG
rnacentral:rRNA from 1 species